GAAACAAAGGAGACACAAAGAUGUGCAGCGAGAAAGUUCAGUUUGGUCUCAGCAGUGCAGGUGAGGCCUCUCCAGAGGUGUAGCACACCGUCAGCAGUGGAGGUGGAGACCCUUAGGAGGCCGAGGAGGAGAAGUCCAAAGAAUACAAAAGAGGAACCAGGAGCACAUGAGGGAGGAUCACAAGGAAGUGGGAACAUCAGCUUUGACAGUGAAGAAAGGAAAAACAGGGAUAUAAACUAUAUGGACAAAAGUGUUGGGCCACACCUGUUAAUCUGUGAAUUCUGGUGUUUUUAGUCUCAUUGUCAUGUGUUUAAAAUGAAGCUCUUAG
ensembl:lncRNA